GAAGACUCCUGGAAGGAAGCAGCAUUGCCGUGUCUGUUGAGGACGGUGAGUGUACUCACUCAAGGAUAUUAUCUGAGCAGCAGAGGGAGCCACAUAAAGGUUACCAGAGGAACUGUCCAGCAUUCCUAAGCAGUCUAGGAAGGUGUGAGUCUUUGGAGAGAUGAGAUCUUGUGUCAUCUGGACAUAAGGGAAGAUGUCAGGAAGUACAAAUCAUAUGAGUGAACCUCAGAUGGAAUUAGAAAACUCUAACAUCAGCAGAGAUGAGCUCAGACCAUGUGAACAUCCCGGGACAACCCAUGCAGAUAUAAGGAAAUG